AUUGAACGCUGGCGGCAGGCCUAACACAUGCAAGUCGAGCGGUAGAGAGGAGCUUGCUUCUCUUGAGAGCGGCGGACGGGUGAGUAAUGCCUAGGAAUCUGCCUAGUGGUGGGGGAUAACGUUCGGAAACGGACGCUAAUACCGCAUACGUCCUACGGGAGAAAGCGGGGGACCUUCGGGCCUCGCGCCAUUAGAUGAGCCUAGGUCGGAUUAGCUAGUUGGUGAGGUAACGGCUCACCAAGGCGACGAUCCGUAACUGGUCUGAGAGGAUGAGCGGUACGACUGGAACGGGGACAGGUUCAAGACUCCUACGGGAGGAGGAGUUGGGGAAUAUUGGACAAGGGGGGAAAGCCUGAUCCAGCCAUGCGGGGUGUGGGAAGAAGGUUUUCGGAUUGUAAAGCACUUUAGGUUGGGAGGAAGGGAAUUACCCAAUUCCGUUGCUACUUUGCCUUUACCAACAGAAUAAGCACCGGUUAACUUCGUGCAAGCGCCGCCGUAAUAC
rnacentral:rRNA from 1 species